GAGUCGGGAUAACCACCGUAGGAAACAGAUGACUAAUACCGGAUAACAACAGAUGAUGCCUAUCAACUGUUUAAAAGAUGGUUCUGCUAUCACUCUUGGAUGGACCUGCGGUGCAUUAGCUAGUUGGUAGGGUAACGGCCUACCAAGGCGAUGAUGCAUAGCCGAGUUGAGAGACUGAUCGGCCACAUUGGGACUGAGACACGGCCCAAACUCCUACGGGAGGCAGCAGCC
rnacentral:rRNA from 1 species